rfam:Euryarchaeota archaeon 55_53 PW_scaffold_70, whole genome shotgun sequence.
CGGGAGGUGUCCCGCCGGGAUGUGGCUCACUGAGCUGAACCAUAAA